rnacentral:lncRNA from 1 species
UUGUAUUUGGCACUUGACAAAGUUCACUUGUAUGUAAUAAUAAUAAUAAAUGUCUAAAUUAUUUAUUAGUUCUCAACUUUACUAAAUUUGUCUUUGUUUUUUUCUUGUUGCGGUAAACUUUCUAGUCAUGCUACCUUUAUGAUACUUUUAUUUCUGACCAUAACCUGCUCUUCUGCGAAGCUCUCCUCUGACUUCUUAGUUGUCUAAACUUAAACAUGUGAUAUGAAUUAAAUAAUUGAUCGGUUUGAUAUUAGAGUGAGUCGGUGUACAUACCUGUUGUGAUAUGAUUAUUCGAAUUUUGUAUCGAUUGUGAUGAUUGUGUGUAGAUUUAU